AUGACACUGUCUAUUCCAGUCUUAAAUGCCAAAUCUCAAACAUCACUGAGGAAAACUAAAUCAGGAUUUUCAGAGCUCCACAGUGCAGAUUUCCAGCAGGACACUGGAUCUCUCCCUCCGCAGACCAGGAUCAUCACCACUGACCCAGAACCAAUGACCAGCCAUAAAGCGCAGACCAGUCCACACAUAAACUGUCUGGGAUGUUAUAGUAUAAUUUAUCACCUCUUCCAUAAUUGUCUCAGAACUUAGACUUGCCAGAUCAGUGUACUCUUUUCUGCAAUAGUCCAGGGCUUCAUCCCACGUCUUAUUCUGAUGAACCAAAACUGGGCUGAAGACCUUCAUACAGUAAAAAGAUAGAGUCUCAGAGCAUGGAAUGUUGUGCAGUUUAGAAGUGGAUAUUUUUAACCUGCCACAAUUUUCAGAAUAAUCAUCUGGUUGUUCACUAUCCCAGUUGUCAAUUGGUUGCCUCUCACCUCCAGACCAAAUCCAUUUUUCUGGGUUGUUAGAACUUCUGUAUAGUCCAGCCCAUUUAAAAUGAUACACAGAAUCUGUAUUUAGAUACGAGUUAUUUGUUUGGGAAAAAGAAUCGGUUCAUGAGUCUUUCGUUUCCAAUGUUUGUGUUUCCCUCUGUAGAAUCAGACACGUUGUCAAUAAUUUAUUACGGUAUCCGUCCACAUCGAGCGUCAUAAAAUAGGCUAUUAUUAGAUUCCAGUACCAUUAAACGUGUUUCAGUUGUAAUUUGCCUAUGUAAAGCAUGCACCGCCAAGAGUCAUUUAAGAGUCGUUCAGCAGCAGCUGCACGAGCAGGUUUUGGACUUGAUCUUGAGGAUUACGCUUUUGCAGGUCUGUUUUAAUUGUUUACAUAUUCAUAUUUGUAUUUAUAAGCGUGUUUUAUUAUCUGUUGUAUCGCAUUACUAUUUAACUGUGUGAAAAACUUCUCCAAGCCAUUCAGUGGGUGAUCUCUCCAAUAAAUCCCGACCGCUGUGCUGCUAACCCGUUUGACCAACUCACAAAAAAAGAACCGACUCAUUCAAUCAUGUAUCAUGCAUAGCUAGUUCUUAUUCUAAAGUCAUUUAAGAAAAUACGAAACACACGACAUGAUUGGUGAAAUAGAAAAAAAUGAUUAUCAGGUCGAUAAAUUGUAGUGUUCAACACAAGGCAAGAUUCAGUAACAUUUUACUGGGUGUCAUGGCCUGGUAUAUUAGUUGCAACCAAGAGAUGGCGCUCCAUGGUUUAACACAAUGACACUCUCACAACUCUUCUCCGGUCUCGAAUCAAACGCAUUCAAACCCACUGAAACGGUUACCAACAUGAGAGUGCUAGAAACACCAAUCUUAUUUUUGUUUCUCACAAUAUCAAAAUCUCAGCGUACCCCUUCCUAAACCCAUAUUCAAAAAUAUACACAUCAUGAUAUUCUCUAUUAGCUUAUGAAAGCAGACCUUAAUGCGUUUAAGUACAGUACACAUUGACACUGUUUGUUCUUUACACUCCAGUUUAUGCAUUCAUUUUUUUUUUUUUCUGAAGUAUACAGCCCAGUAAUGUGGUGGUGUGUGCAGUAAUUGCAUGUCAUGUUCACGCUCACAUGUUUUCUAUUGAGACUAUUUUAGUCCAGAUUCUCAAACCAAAUAAAAAUAAUAAUAAAUAAAUAAAAAAGGCGCAGAACACCAGCUUGUCAGUCAUGUACUUUAUUAACAAAUGUAUACAGAAACCAUACACAUGUCUGAUUUAAAGCAAACAGCUGAUCUAUUCAAAUUAGGUGCACUAUUUUC
rnacentral:lncRNA from 12 species